rnacentral:rRNA from 1 species
AUACGUAGGUGGCGAGCGUUGUCCGGAUUUACUGGGCGUAAAGGGAGCGUAGGCGGAUUUUUAAGUGAGAUGUGAAAUACUCAGGCUUAACCUGAGUGCUGCAUUUCAAACUGGAAGUCUAGAGUACAGGAGGGGAGAGCGGAAUUCCUAGUGUAGCGGUGAAAUGCGUAGAGAUUAGGAAGAACACCAGUGGCGAAGGCGGCUUUCUGGACUGUAACUGACGCUCAAGCACGAAAGCGUGGGGAGC